rnacentral:rRNA from 1 species
GUGCCAGCCGCCGCGGUAAUACAGAGGGUGCGAGCGUUAAUCGGAGUAACUGGGCGUAAAGGGCGCGUAGGCGGUGAUGUGAGUGUGAUGUGAAAGCCCCGGGCUUAACCUGGGAAGUGCAUCGCAAACGACAUGACUGGAGUAGAUGAGAGGGUGGCGGAAUUUCCGGUGUAGCGGUGAAAUGCGUAGAGAUCGGAAGGAACGUCGAUGGCGAAGGCAGCCACCUGGCAUCAUACUGACGCUGAGGCGCGAAAGCGUGGGGAGCGAACAGGAUUAGAUACCCCCGUAGUCC